rnacentral:rRNA from 1 species
AUUGAACGCUGGCGGCAGGCCUAACACAUGCAAGUCGAGCGGAGCGGCGGACGGGUGAGUAAUGCCUAGGAAUCUGCCUGGUAGUGGGGGAUAACGUCCGGAUACGGGCGCUAAUACCGCAUACUAUCAGAUGAGCCUAGGUCGGAUUCGCUAUUUGGUGGGGUAAAGGCCUACCAAGGCGACGAUCCGUAACUGGUCUGAGAGGAUGAUCAGUCAAACGGGAACAGAGACACGGUCCAGACUCCUACGGGAGGCAGCAGUGGGGAAUAUGGGAAAAGGGGCGAAAGCCGGAUCCAGCCAUGCCGCGUGGGUGAAGAAGGUCUUCGGAUUGUAAAGCUCUUUAAGUUGGGAGGCGUUACCAACAGAAUAAGCACCGGCUAACUUCGUGCCAGCAGCCGCGGUAAUUC